GCCUGGGCUGCAGGCCCGUGAGCGGAGCCGGGCACCGUGGGCUCUGGAGUCUGGCGGAGCGUUCACCUGCGGCGGGUCCCAUUGCGUGGCCUCCAGUGGUGUCGCCAGCCUCGGUCCUGUCUUUGUGGCGCGGAAAGGAGAGAGGCCCCUCCACUGGAGCUUUCUCAGACUCAUCACCCCGGCCUGAACCGGCACCUCGUGAGAAUAGACCCAGCGAGGUUAAAAUGGCCGCCCUUUACGCGGGAGGCUGGAAGACCCUGGUGGACAGAAGCUUAUGCUGCUGCUGCUAAGUCACUUCAGUCGAGUCUGACUCUGUGCGACCUCAUAGACGGCCUCGUACCAGGCUCCUCUGUCCCUGGGAUUCUCCAGGCAAGAACAAUGGAGUGGGUUGCCAUUUCCUUCUCCAAUGCAUGAAAGUGAAAAGUGAAAGUGAAGUCUCUCAGUCGUGUCUGACUCUUAGCUACCUCAUGGACUGCAGCCUACCAGGCUCCUCCGUCCAUGGGAUUUUCCAGGCAAGAGUACUGGAGUGGGGUGC
rnacentral:lncRNA from 1 species